UAAGUUAAAAUAAGCAUUGCAUCACAGACUAGAUAGAGAGUCUCAGCGUCAUGAAUCUGAUGUCAAUGAUAGCAGGAUAGUUUGCCAUGCUGUAUACUAAAGAACUGUAGGUGUAAUCUCAUAAUAGUAAUUCAUUUCCACAGCAUGAUGAAGAUAUGUAAAAGUUAAAAUAAGCAUUGCAUCACAGCCUAGAUAGAUAGUCUCAGCGUCUUGAAUCUGAUGUUACUGAUAGCAGGAUAGACAGGAUAGUUUGCCAUGCUGUAUGCUAAAGAGUUGUAGGUGAGGUAACAAUGUGUUCAAGUUAAAAUAAGCAUUGCAUCACAGCCUAGAUAGAUAGUGUCAGUGUCUUGGAUCUGAUGUUACUGAGAGCAGGAUAGGCAGGAUAGUUUGCCAUGCUUUAUACCAAAGAAUUGUAGGUGUAAUGUCGUAUUAGUAACAUUUCCGCAGCAUGAUGAAGAUAUGUUAAUGUUAAAGUAAGCAUUGGAUCAGACUAGAUAGAUACCUGUCAGCGUCAUGAAUCUGAUGUUACUUAUAGCAGGAUAGUUUUUCAUGCUGUAUGCUAGAGAGUUGUAGGUGAAAUGUCAGUCUCAAACGUUGCAUCCCAGACUAGUUUUCAAUUCCCAGAGAUUGUUAGAGAUGCCUAAUGGUAGUCGAAAUGUAUUGUAACGUAUCCUAGAUAGUAACUUAUAGAAGAACAGCUAAAUUUAAAUGACCUGUACAUUUCUAAAGAGAUCUCGCAUUGUACAAAGCAUGAGUAUGUUUUAAGUUGUUAGGACUUCUAUGAAAAGAUGAUCAGCUUAUGAGGGAAAAAAACAUGUACAUCACUUACGAGGAACAUAGAGGCAGAGUUUAAAGUCUUGUAAGGACCUAGUGGUAAGUCUUAAGUACCUUGGCGACUAACAGUGGCAGGGCUGAGAGGGCCAACUUGUGCAGAGGCUAGUUCGGUGAGGCUUCAGGAACAGGACCAUCAGUAACUUUUAAGAAGGCAGCGGAGAGUCGUGAGAAGCCCUAGCGUAUCAACAGGAAUACUGAUAUGUAAGUGUUAAGUAGGAGUAGUGUAUCCUUUUGUAAGUGGCAAGGCUUGAGGUUAGUGAUAGACAGGAAAACUGGGAUCUUAUAAGAAUGUGUUAAAAGGCUUCGGUCCAGCAUAUCACCCUUUUUGUAAGUAGAAAGUGAGGCUAGAUUAAAAGGCUUCGGUCCAGCAUAUCACCCUUUUUGUAAGUAGAAAGUGAGGCUAGAAGAACGAGAACACUAAUAGGAAACUGAAGUGGAGGGAAGUGUUUUGCGUCAUCUUGUAAAUGUUAAGAAAUUCAGGAGGUGCGUCGAGUGUUAGAUGACCAGGGUGACUAGGGUAAAUUGUUGGUAAGUGUUAGAUAUCAAAGCAAGCUAUAAGGUCAAGACUAGGAAGUUCAUUGUCCCAGUUAAGAUGAGGCUGUAGUGAAUGUCUAGUAUUGAAUGUACCUUAACUGUCAUUACGGUUACUAUAUUUUGACUUGCGUAAAUUGUUGGCAAGUGUUAGAUAUCAAAGGAAGAGAUGAGGUCAAGACUAGGAAGUUCAUUGUCCCAGUUAAGAUGAGGCUGUAACAAAUGUCUAGUAUUGAACUAACUUUACUGUCAUUAGGGUUACUAUAUUUUGACGCGUAAAUUGUUGUAAAGUGUUAGAUAUGAGAGAUGAGAUCAAGACUAGGAAGUUCAUUGUCCCAGUUAAGAUGAGGCUGUAGUGAAUGUCUAGUAUUGAAUGUUCCUUAACUGUCAAUAGGGUUACUAUAUUUUGAUGCGUAAAUUGUUGUAAAGUGUUAGAUGUCAAAGAGAUGAGGUCAAGACUAGUAAGUUCAUUGUCCCAGUUAAGAUGAGGCUGUAGUGAAUGUCUAGUAUUGAAUGUACCUUAAC